rnacentral:rRNA from 1 species
UACGAAGGGGGCUAGCGUUGCUCGGAAUCACUGGGCGUAAAGGGUGCGUAGGCGGGUUUUUAAGUCAGAGGUGAAAUCCUGGAGCUCAACUCCAGAACUGCCUUUGAUACUGAAAGUCUUGAGUAUGGGAGAGGUGAGUGGAACUGCGAGUGUAGAGGUGAAAUUUCGUAGAUAUUCGCAAAGAACACCAGUGGCGAAGGCGGCUCACUGGCCCAUUACUGACGCUGAGGCACGAAAGCGUGGGGAGCAAACAGG